rfam:Strongylocentrotus purpuratus Contig24987_fixed, whole genome shotgun sequence.
CCUCGCUCAGAAGACUUGUUAUCCAAGUUACACACAGAGAACACAGUUUCUCAUUAUUGACUUGGGGGAAAGUCCCUGGACCCUGGGUAGAGAGUGCCACAUAAUAAUCUUGUUAUGUCUGCUUAGUCUGCAGUCCUCUUCAUACUGGCUAUGAGGUUGUUAGAAUCGAGCCUGAGGAUAGACUAGGCAGUCGUCAGAGCACAGUCAUGCAAGUACCACUUCUGUAGUGGUAACACAACAGGGCUCACUCUCUGAGUAAC